rnacentral:misc_RNA from 1 species
AAGUCGUAACAAGGUUUCCGUAGGUGAACCUGCGGAAGGAUCAUUACACUCAGUAGUUUACUACUGUUAAGGAGGCUGUUAGCCUGUAUAGCUUCAUCGCUGAUGAGCAGCUGGCCUCCUUUUCCCACCCUUGUCUUUUGCGUACCCAAGUUUCCUCGGCAGGCUUGCCUGCCGGUUGGACAACCUUAUAACCUUUUUAAUUUUCAAUCAGCGUCUGAAAAAAAUUAAUAAUUACAACUUUCAACAACGGAUCUCUUGGUUCUG